GCAUCGGUAAUUUAGUGGUAGAAUGCCUGAUUGCAAAUCAGGUUGUCGUGUGUUCGAUCCACACUCGGUGCU
rfam:Penicillium camemberti str. FM013